UGCCAGUGCCCUGGUCAUUCCUCCUUGUCUCUUAAGGACUUGAGCAUUGGCCUCACUGCCUUCAUUUUCAUGAUCCACUCUUUGGAGAGUGAUCCGUCUGACACCUUGGCCCCUCGGUUCCUUGACCUCCACGCCUCACGUGGUCUUGAGCCUCCUACUCUGGAUGUCACGUGCUGGACCUUUUCAUCGCCAGUGACCGUGUCGCCUCUUAUUCUCACCUUCAAGCCCCUCACUUGCUGACCACCUUGUCCUCUUUCCAGUUUAGUGCCUCUGAUGCUCCCACACUAGGAGUUAUUUAAUCUUAUGAAGAGCAGUGAUUCAUUGGCCUUGUGAACAGGUCUCAGUCAAUUUAGGAAGUUAAUUUUGCCAAAAUUAAGGACGCGCACCUGGACACAGCCUCAGGAGGUCCUGAUGACAUGUGCCCACGGUGGUCUGAGCACAGCUGGUUUUAUACAUUUUAGGGAGACUUCUAGAGAGGUGGCAUUUUGGGGUGGGAAAGACCUAGGUUUGAAUCCCAGCUCUGCCAUAUUAGUGGAACAACCUCUGAACCAAUGUCCUCUUUGGUAAUGUGGGACACUGAUGGCUACUUUAGUCUUAUAGUUAGGAUCAAGUGAGAGCAUUUAUACAAUUCAAUAAACAUUUUUCAAGUGUCUAUCAUGUGAUAGUGAGAUAGAAGACUAGCAGAACUUGUUUUCUGGCCACAGUCCUGCCAACCAAAACAGAAUCUAGUCCAGAAAAGAUAAAGUGAAGAACCUAGUCAAAACCAGCAGAUGGGUAAAAAAGCAAUUCUUAGCUGCCCUCAUUGCUCAUUAGCAUAACACACUCCCAGAAGUGCCAUGACAGUUUAUAGAUGCCAUGGCAACAACCCAAAAGUUACCACCAAGGGUCAUUCCCUGGCAAUGACCCAAAAGUCACUAUCCCUAUUCUAGAAAGUUCUAAAUAGCUCACCCUUCAAUUUGCAUUAACCCUCCCCUUAAUUUGCAAAUAAUUGAAAGUGAUUAUAAGUGAGUAUAAAUUUAGUUGCUGAGAGCCCAUAGUUUGCUGACUCUAGGCACACUACCUAUGAGUUAACCCUGCUCUGCAAGAAGCAGCACUGUUCAGGAAAAGGUUAUCUAACACCACUGACUUGCCCUUGAAUUAUUUCCUGGGCAAGGCCAAGAACCCUUCUGGGCUAAGCCCCAGUCUUGGGGCUCACCUAUCCUGUGCCUUCUGGUGGCCACAAAGGGAUGAAAUAGUGAGUGAGAGGAAGUGACCAAUGUGGUGUUGAGACUGCAGAAAUGGCAGUGAUCAGUGGCAAGAUGGCAAGACAGUAGCAAUGAACAAAGAGGCCAAGUGAAAAGAAAGACUUGAGAGAGGGAGAAAUGGUGAGACAGCAAGAUGACAAGACAGUGACCAGUCAGUUGGUGAGAGGUGGCAAUCAGAGAGAGGUGGUGGUGCAGCAGUCAGUCAGGGCUGUGAGGAUCAAAGCUGCAGACAGCUGGAACACUAACCAAAGGUUCUUUUCACAGCCAUCAUCUUUCCUGGCAGAUGGUGGAGCUGAGUGGAUGGACGAGCAGCCAUAGCACAGGGAUCCAAAGCUCUGACUGGGAAGCUGCAGGACCACAUGUCAGUUUCCUCACAGCAGCCGAGCCUGCCCAUGCCAGGGAAGCCUGGGGAGCAUUCCUUCACCUGCACCCCCCAUCAGAGACCAGGGGGCCCCAUUUUGGCUCCUGUGGACAGCAGAGCUAUUGAAACGUUUGUAAAAUAGCAGAGGGUUCCAGAUGGGAGAAGCCAUUGUUCAAAGUCCAGACCACCCAGCGGGCAUGUCAACCCACAAUAUGACCUAUUCAUGUAUUUGCUUUUCAUGGACUCAUAAGAUUAUUCACAAUGGAAGAAACAAUGGCAGAGAAAGAUAACCAAGGACAGAAAUUACAUUCCUCUGUAGAAUCUUGUAAUGGUUUUCAGUUACUAAAGGACCAAGAAGAUAUUUACUCU